rnacentral:rRNA from 1 species
UACGUAGGGUGCGAGCGUUGUUCGGAAUUACUGGGCGUAAAGAGCUCGUAGGUGGUUUGUCGCGUUGUUCGUGAAAACUCACAACUCAAUUGUGGGCGUGCGGGCGAUACGGGCAGACUGGAGUACUGCAGGGGAGACUGGAAUUCCUGGUGUAGCGGUGGAAUGCGCAGAUAUCAGGAGGAACACCGGUGGCGAAGGCGGGUCUCUGGGCCGAUACUGACGCUGAGGAGCGAAAGCGUGGGGAGCGAACAGG